GGGUUGUGAGGUUAAGCGACUAAGCGUACACGGUGGAUGCCCUGGCAGUCAGAGGCGAUGAAGGGCGUGCUAAUCUGCGAUAAGCGCCGGUAAGGUGAUAUGAACCGUUAUAACCGGCGAUACCCGAAUGGGGAAACCCAGUGUGAUUCGUCACACUAUCAUUAACUGAAUCCAUAGGUUAAUGAGGCGAACCGGGGGAACUGAAACAUCUAAGUACCCCGAGGAAAAGAAAUCAACCGAGAUUCCCCCAGUAGCGGCGAGCGAACGGGGAGGAGCCCAGAGCCUGAAUCAGCAUGUGUGUUAGUGGAAGCGUCUGGAAAGGCGCGCGAUACAGGGUGACAGCCCCGUACACAAAAGCGCAUGUGCUGUGAGCUCGAUGAGUAGGGCGGGACACGUGGUAUCCUGUCUGAAUAUGGGGGGACCAUCCUCCAAGGCUAAAUACUCCUGACUGACCGAUAGUGAACCAGUACCGUGAGGGAAAGGCGAAAAGAACCCCGGCGAGGGGAGUGAAAAAGAACCUGAAACCGUGUACGUACAAGCAGUGGGAGCACCCUUUGGGUGUGACUGCGUACCUUUUGUAUAAUGGGUCAGCGACUUAUAUUCUGUAGCAAGGUUAACCGAAUAGGGGAGCCGGAGGGAAACCGAGUCUUAACCGGGCGUUAAGUUGCAGGGUAUAGACCCGAAACCCGGUGAUCUAGCCAUGGGCAGGUUGAAGGUUGGGUAACACUAACUGGAGGACCGAACCGACUAAUGUUGAAAAAUUAGCGGAUGACCUGUGGCUGGGGGUGAAAGGCCAAUCAAACCGGGAGAUAGCUGGUUCUCCCCGAAAGCUAUUUAGGUAGCGCCUCGUGAAUUCAUCUCCGGGGGUAGAGCACUGUUUCGGCUAGGGGGCCAUCCCGGCUUACCAACCCGAUGCAAACUGCGAAUACCGGAGAAUGUUAUCACGGGAGACACACGGCGGGUGCUAACGUCCGUCGUGAAGAGGGAAACAACCCAGACCGCCAGCUAAGGUCCCAAAGUCAUGGUUAAGUGGGAAACGAUGUGGGAAGGCCCAGACAGCCAGGAUGUUGGCUUAGAAGCAGCCAUCAUUUAAAGAAAGCGUAAUAGCUCACUGGUCGAGUCGGCCUGCGCGGAAGAUGUAACGGGGCUAAACCAUGC
rnacentral:rRNA from 1 species